UGAAGUGUGCUGGGUUUCACUUGCUGUCACUACUCAGGACUGCCAUCAGAAGGAGAGCGCUGGCAGUGCUCACGCUGCUUUCCAUAUCACUAACUGGGAGCGCAAUAAAUAGCGUUCAGCUCGUUGUACGGCUCCUGAAAUGAAUGCGUGCAGAGGCUUCGGUUAGCUGCUUCUCUCCCGUGCAGAAGGGGUGUCACUGCUGGAUACCUCUGUCUUUCUCUCCUGUCUUCAUUGCUAGGUCUGCUGGGGCCGGGUCAAGUGGCGCUGCCCAACUUCUCACCAGCCUUGCAGGUGGAAGUGAAUCUGUAACAAGAUUGGGAAAGAAAGAGGAGAAAAAUUUUCUUUUCCAUUCCAUGGGAAAAUAACGUGUUGAAUUAUCAUCUGGAAACUGUGGGAAGAGUCAACAUGAGCAACGAGAGGCCAGUGAACCCUGGUUCAUCUCCACUGACUGAAGGCCUGAAGAGAAAGAGAGGAAGACCAAAGAAGCAGACACAGGAGGAGGCUGGGGGACAAUUCCUGGUGAAGAAACCACGAGGAAGGCCAAAAGGAAGCAAGAAAGUGAGCACUGUAAUUGGACAAAUGGUAGGACCUCCUGCUGGAAAAAGGCCAAGAGGGAGGCCCCGCAAGUGGCCCCAGCUAGCGAUCCAAGAAGGAACGUCUGAGGAAGGAAGUCCUCAGGGAAGCAGUGACUUGAAUUUGAACUCGGCGCCUGCCACACAAGGCAUCACUGGAAAAGACGGUUCCAGGCCCAGCAAAACUACUGGUCUUAGGAAGUCUCUGAGUAACAUCCCUGCCACAGCUCAGUAGUAUGCCACCUGCUCAUGUCUUGCUGAAGCCAGAGGACUGGAAAGCAAAUAGCAUUCUUAUUGUUAUAUUUUGAAUUCUCCUUUUGUGAUAAUCUUGCCCAAUCUUUCUCUCCUGCUGUCUGCUGGCUUACCCCAGCCAUCCAAGCAGGGACUUAAAGAACAAAAAGAAAAAUGCUUUCUCAGGGAGAUGCCUUUCACAGUUUGUAGUAGAUUUUUUGGUAAGGAUAUUAUCUUUUGUAAUAAUACUUCGAUAACACGGUGCCUCGUGCUGCCACAGAUAGCAAUAGUUCAAUAGAAAGACAGUGUUGACUCAGUAAUACAGAUACAGGAAAGGAAAUCUAUUUACAUAGCUAAAUUCUGAAUUUAUGUCAUACCACCUCUAGUAGAUGACGGAGUGGUCCCAGGAGUUAAAUUUUGCUCAUUUGCUCACAGGGACUGUAUCUGAAAGACACUUUGAGUCCUUCCCUCCCUGUAUCGGAAAAAAAAAAAAACCUUCAUGGCAUUUCCAGCUUACGUAAUGUUGCUCCAGCGGUCAGUAAUUUGGAUGCUUCAGAGGAAAGCUCACACCCUGGCAUCUUGAGGACUGACUCUGAAAUUUUUAUCCUAGCGCUAUCAGCUCAGGCCAUCUUCCAUUAACUAGCUUUUGGCCUGAUGGCACUCCCCAUGAAUUUGAUAGCAACUCUGAGUGAACAAUCUUUACAAGCUUAGUCACAACCACUGGAUUUCAUCACUUCCAAGGGGUGUCUCUAAAGAACCAAAGCAACCAAAGGUUGCUUCCUUGCAGAGCUGCAGGAUUCAACUUAAAUCACUGUUGUACCUUCAUCCAUAAUGUGCGUUUGUGGGGUCCUCUAGUGUUGCAGCUAUGCAAAUAAAAGCUUGUUGAUACAGUUUAGUUUUGGGAGACAGCAGUAUCCUGUUGCUCUGGGACAGGGACUGAGAGCAGCACAUUGUAUGUCAACUCUGCUUUCAGUGUCGGAGCUGAUCUUGCUAAAUUCUGAGGAAUGAGGAUAUUUCCAUUACCCACUUAGGAACAAUGAAAUCUUGUGGUUAUUUUCCAUCUGGUGGAUGCUCUGCCUGCCUAUUAAAGGGACAAAGUGGGUAUUUCAAUUAUCUUUGACAAGAUGUAAAAUUGGCUAGCUUUACAGUGUUAAAUAUUUAAACAGAACAUAAUUGGCUUUAAAUUUAUGGCAGUGCAUACCAGAAUAUUGAGCUCAUUUAUUAUCCUUUCAUCAGAGGUCUGUUUCCUUAGCAGGUAUGUAUUUAACACAAGAAAAUGUCUGCAGGAUUAAGAGGAAGGACUGACUGGAGAAAGAAAAUAGAAAAACUGUUUUUUUCUCCUCUAGAUCAUUUUGUCCAGUCUGCCGUGUAGUAGUGACCAGGGUUCUGAUUAUGUUAAUUCUGUGUUGUCAGGUUUACCCUAACAGUAGUUUCUUGUAUAUGGACUUUGGUGGUCUCAGCAGAAAAAACUGCAUCACGGUAACCUUUCUUGCCUCCUCUACCACGUAUCGGAGAAAUCAAGGAUUAAAUGGAUUGGAUCACAGGGUCUGACCUAAACCUUAUGUGAGGCAUGCUGCUGUAUGUGGGAAGUCUGACCUCCUCCUGCUGCAUGGAUAAAUACAGGUGGGACACCAUGCAUUCAAGUCUGUAACUAUCAAUAGUUACAUGAGAAGAUCCAACUGGUGUUCCUCCAAGUUCAGGUUAGGGCAAGACGCAAGAUUUGCUCUGCAUCAUUUUUUUAGAUGCAAAAGUUCAUCUGCAGUUCACGUCUGCAUUCAAAGGGCACCCCAGUGAUACGCUAAGAUAUUUCACCAACUUCUAUACCUGAUUUGUGAGUGGAUUGGCAAAUUUAACAUUUUCCUUCAAGACUGUACUGUGUAUUUAAUUGAGCCCUAUUGCCUGAGAGUAAUAGCUGUUACCAUGUGAAACUGGAAUUUCAGCUUCUCCUAAACGGAUUAGGCAUGGCAUCUGUAAGAGACUUGAGCUUUUCUUAUGACACUAGUCAGUCCUUUCUCAGCUGGUAACAUGCAGUAGGGAUGGAAACUGCCUCAGUUAAAUAGUAAAUCCAUUUGAUUCAGGUCAGCAGUGGUCUUCUGGGAUAUGCACUCAAAGUACUCCUCUUAGGGGGAAAAAAAAAAACUAGUCUUUGCUACCUCUUAAUAUUCUAUUGAGAAACCACAGCAGAAAACAGAUUUCUCUAAAAAAUGUAACUGCUUGGGAACAACCAUAAUUCCACACUAUUAGGAGCCACUCUUCAUGUAGUUGAAAUCCCAGUCCAUAACUUCAGCUUCCACUUUUAUGCAGAGACUUAGAAUGAAAGUCAAUGUCUAUUAAAAGCAGGCAAAAUUCCAGUUGUCUUCAGAGAGGUAGGCUGGCUCGCAUGCUAGUUUUUCUUAUUUGAAAGAUAAACACUUUUUAUUCCCCUGUGUAGCCAAAUCCUACCUCUAAACAAAUGCAUUUCAAAUGUUUCUAAGCUUAGACAGUGGGUCUGAGUCAAAAAACAGGUCACUGCAGUGGGAUCAGAACAGUGGAGAUGACAAGGUGUGUUUUCUAGCAAAGUUUGGAAGAUUCUCAUAAAUGGUUCUCAUUUUGGUGUAGGCAUAAAGAGUUUUGACUAUUUGAAAUUAGCCUCAGAGUUUGUUUUUAAUAAAGGUAUAAAACGUAGCACCUCAGGCUUCUGCUUUGCCUCCUCCAUGUGCAACAACCUCAGCUCACACGCAUCUCUAGGCAAACAUGUUUCUCUUUUCUUUACUGGAGUUAAAAAAAAAAAAAGUUUUGGACAUUCUAACACACAAUUUGGUCACUCAGGAGCACCUGCAGACCUAUGUGAAAACAAGGAAUAACGAGUAUGAGGAAUCAUGAGGAAAAAAAACCCAAGUGUUGGUACCUAAUUCUAGCCUCUUGUGUAUCUUACAGUACCUUGGAAUUGGCUUGACUACAAUACAGGCUAAUUCUGUUUCAUGUCUAUACCUAGAGGUCUCCACAGCGAAGUCUGUAUAUGCCACAUAGUGUAUAUGCCACAGCUUUUUGUACAAUUAAUUCUGUUCCUCUGUAUAGCCUCUUCAGGUCAUCUGACAGCUUUCCUAACCAGUCCCAAGUUAUGGGUUUGUGGGCCAAAAAGUGAGGUAGAAAGCAAAUUUGUUCUCUGAAACACACAAAAAAUAUCACCAUGGAGCUGCCAAUGGUGCUGCCCACAAUGUUCACCCAAUGUGGGUGAAGCUGUCCUGGACAGAACUGCAGGUAACCCAAUAAAUCCAGAGUUUGUCUCAGAAUUCAGCUGGUUUAAGGAAAAUAUGGCCAACAGACAAGUUGGAAUUUGUCCUUCUGCACUCUGGGUGCCUGGGAUGUGCUAGGCUGGAAGCGCCUGCCUUCCUGACUUCUCCACUAAGCCUUCCCAUAGGGGUCUGAGUUUCCACACAGAGGAAUACUAAACUUUUAACUCUGCAGAGCUUGUCGUUUGAAGUUUUUGAUGCUUACUUCAGACUUUGAAAGAUUAGGGGAAUUCACUGUGUACAAAGUUACCAACAGGUACCAAGGGUAUACUCCAGUUUUCCCUGGAAAAUGUAAAUAGUAGGGAAAAAAGAAAAUCACACAACAUUUCAUGUAAAUACUUUAAUUAUAUUUAAAUGCUUAAGACACAGAAACACUUGAAUUAAAUUACAUCAUAAUGCUUCUGCUAAGUUGUACAUAUACGUCCAAGAACUGUGAGUGAAGGCGCUAUUGAACUAAAAGAAUACUCCAGUGCAAGCCCAGCAAAUACCCAUAAUAUUCUUUUAGUCUUGUUUUCUGUACUUCUUUAAUCUAAGGGCAGUCAUCACAGGACAAAGCCUACCAUUGCAGGAAGAAUGGUUAAAGAGAAUUCCUCUGCAGGUGUGUUUGUUAUAUGAGAUAUCUCAGCAUUAACGUGGAACAAGGUGCCUGUUUUUGUACCCGAGCUGGCAGAUGCACUGUUUGGCAGCUGCCUGUGCAAUACAUGGAGUGGUCUGAGGCAACAGCCAGCUUAUGGUUGCCUUUUAUAGAGUGUAAAAUGACAACAACAAAGUUCCAGUCCUAUGAGUUCUAGGGGCUGAACACUUGCAGGUUAGGGCAUGCACCAUUGCCACCGCUUGCGUCCCCAUCCUGCUGCAAAGCACAGGAGUGUGACGGGCAAUGAUGUGCCAGCUGCUGAAGGGAAAAAUCUGACAUCUCUGUGGCUGGCUGUCCUCAGGGAGCACUCGGAGGAGAGAUAAAGAGAUGGUAAGUUGAGGCAGGGGUGGGGUGGGGGUUGCUUUUUUUUGGCUGGUCAUGUAAGCAUAACCUCGGGGAAGACCCACAGAUGGUGGCCUCCAAAUUCUAAGGACCUACACCAGAUUACACCAAGUAUUUGUACCCACACCCCCUUCCAGCAGUCUCCCUGGCGCGCAAACCUUGGCAAGCUGGGAAUGCCUCCUGCCAUAUCUACCAGUUAUAAAGGAUGGGCCAUUUUCUACACGUGCUGACACUCCUAGACUUACUACACUUUCAGAACUCUUUGGUUUUAAAAAGGAAGGGGGAUACUGAAAAAAUAAAGCAACUCAGUCCUGCAAAAAUGCUAUGAGGGAAGCUGUGUAGUGAAGAAGGUAGAGCUGGUGAGAAACUGUUCACUGCGGCAGGGGUCAGUGGCAUGUGCACAGGAAAGUGUUUGCAUCUGUGAAUAGCAAAAGAAAAUCACAGUGGGAAGCAAAAAAACAGGAUCUGGGAGAACAAAAACUAGCUAGCAGGCCCAAACUUGCAACAAAGCACAUGAUACCUGAAUUGCCACUCAGUGAAACACCUCCUUGCAUAAAGCUCACCUUUAGAUCUGCAUUCAAAUUUUGACUGGCCCUGAUUCCCUUUUAACUGGUGCUGUGGAUGGAAUAGGAUCUGACAAACGCAUGUGCUGCAGAAAAAUCAGUAGGCGAGUAGUAUAUGGCCGGGGACUGAUGCUUGUGCACCACUAACACAGCAGUGAGACAGUUUGAUUUGUGCGUUCACCUCCAGGGAUCUAAAGCCACCACCCAACCAGGAGUGAGGGUCAAUCUCUGGCAGCAAAAAGGAGCACCCCUUCCCCCAGAUCACGAUGUCCGAACGGGGUGGACAGACGCACAUCCCUUCUUUUGAUUUUCCCUGCAGUUUCGAGACUGAGCAACUGGGCAGGGAGGAUGGGGCACGUGCCUGGUGCUCUGGUUGUACUGGACCCUCCUCUUGUCCUUUCUGCCAUGCUCUUUGUUUGCAGUGUGAGAGCCCAGCCUGGACCCUGCUGCCAGCCCCUGGCCACUGUGCUGGCCAGCAGCACUCUAGGCUGGUGGCCACCAGAGGCUCUGAGGAGGACAGCCCUCAUGCUGCACUGCAGCAUGCCAAGGUGGCCAGAGACCCCUUCACACUCUCUCUCCUGCAGCCCUGAAGGACAUGCAGGCAGCGGGGUGCUUCAGGGUUACAGGGGAACUGCUGUCUUACCUGCCCAGACCCACCUUCUGCACUAGCAGGUAACACGAGCAAAGGCUAACACAAAACUCUGUUUCCUUCAGCAGGGAGAAGACUGACUGCAGGUCCUAGCAGGUAAGGAAGCAACCAGAUGUUCGGCCACCUCUAGGCACACCUGUUGUAAUGUGGAGCCAAUACCUGUUAAUCCUCAUUCAAAAGAAGAAAAAUCAAGGCUUAAUCUUCUCUCUGCACUGUAAAAACUUCCCUGAGCUGAAGCCCCGGGGAUACGUGGUAUCAGGGCCCCAGUUUUCUUCAGUGUUCAAUUCCUCUCUCUGGCUCAGGCACUGGCGUUCCCAGGUCAGUGGCAGGGAGUCAUGUAGCUAGAUGUGACAGCCCCUGCCUCUAGCUGUGUGAAAUCCCCUCUCUACAUAUGGCAGCCCUGAUUUGGGAUAUUCACAGAUCAUCUCCUCAGUUAAGAAGUUAUCAGCCAAAUGUUCACCAUUUCACUUUUUAGAGCUAGUGAAUUCCCCAUGCUGCAACAUCAGCCCAGGCUCACAUUUAUCAGCAUCACACAUGCCACAAUGGGAUAAGCCCAUGGUAUGUGUUUUCCCUUGUGUGCCCCAGAUUACCACUCAGCUAGGAGAGUCAGCUUUCCCAGCUCAAAGAGGCUUUGCCACCGGUCAGCCCUCCAGGGUCUGCCAAAGCUGCACAGGGAGGCUCAUUCAUCACUUUCCCGGGGAUCUGGUGGCACAAAGCCAACAGGGAAGCUGUGUGAAACAUGCACCUCUCCUCUCUCCCUGACCCAGAGCGCUCACACGUGUGCUCCGAUAAGUUACACUACAACAAAGUGGCCACUGUUCCUAAGCAUGCGGCCUGGUAGAUGGUGUCUGUCAGCACCAGCCCAGAACCCAGAGCAUGGCAGCUCAGAACCCUUUAGUAGUAACGGACACAUCAAAAAAUGCUACUGCCAUCACAAAGGGUUUUCUUCCCAAAGUGACGACUGUUCCCAGUGUUUGUGCCCAUCUGUACCACAAACCAGCAGAGUGACCAGCUGGGCUCCGGGACUCAGCCAUGCUCGUGAGAAGUCAAUGGUUUGUUGGCUCCAUCCUCCCCAGUCUCGGCACAAUCCCAGAGCAGGGGCAGGUAUUGUUCAUGCAUUGAUGGCAUUGGCAACGUCUGUGAACACAAGACGGCUGGGUCUUUGGAGGGCUCCUUGAUUCGUCAGCAGAAUCUGCAUUGAAGCAGUGAAAGAUGAGACCCAGCAAGUCUGCUUUUUCUCGUGUGCAUGACCCUGGGCACAGACUGCACAGUAUCAUAACUACAUUCAGCCUCUUACUAAGGGCAGCAAAGGCAUGUCCUGUGAGGACACUUGGUUUGUCUGGUUUGGGGAAAAGGAGGCCAGGACGCGACCUCAUGGCUCUCUGCAGCUCCCUGAGGAGGGGAAAUGCAGAGGCAGGCGCCGGUCUCUUCCCCCCAGUAACGGAUGUCAGGACGCAUGGGAACAGCACAAAGCUGCAGCAGGGGAGGCUCAGACUGGUUGUUAAGAAACAUUUCUUUAUGGUGAGGGUGGCCAAACACUGGGACAGGCUUCCUGGAGAGACGCUGGAUGCCCCAUGGCUGUCGGUGCUCAAGAGGAAUUUGGAUAAUGCCCUCAUUAAUAUGCUUUAAUUUUUGGUUAGAUCUGAAGCGCUCAGGAAAUUGGACUUGAUGAUCUUUGUAGGUCUCAUCCAAGUGAACUAUUCUAUUCUGCUCUAUUCUAUUCUACUCAAGGUGGGGCUGAUAGACUAACAUGAUACUACCAAGGCUGCAACAGAAAAAUGCAACAAGCCACAGAGCAAGUCAGCACAACCAUGCCAAUUUAAAAUCCCCACAUCAUUGGAUUACAGGGUGUAGCUUAUCCAGGACUCCACAGAUUUGCCAUGAACUCACUGUUUUAUACACUCAAGGCAGCAUAAAAAGACUUGAAACCUCAAGAAGGCUGGAAACACGCCACAAACUGAUCCUUGGCUGCUGGUUUAGACUCCCUCUCAUGUUCCAUAAAAUCUUUAAACUCGCAUACUUUCCAAGCAGAGGUGUCUGUGCAUUAGCAAGCUCUGGAGGGAUCUAAGGUAUCCUGCUGGCCAGUCACUAUAUAGAAAGCAUGCACUUUUACUGUGCUAAGUUUAACUCUGGCCUUGUCAUUUCCCCUCUUUAUUACCUGUAAGGGAAGUACUCUGUGUGCACUGAUAGAGGGCUCUGAUGUAUGUGCUGCUCAGAGAACAAGAUCCUUUGCUUUUAUACAGCAUUAUUUCUCUACUUUCCCAAACCACUGUAUAGAAUAUGCUGAUUAUCAUCCAUAUUGCAACACAUCUGCUGUGUGCUCUUUGUCAGACUGGGAAGCAUCCUUCAAGGUAAAUAUUUUAUAAUUGCAGUAGUAUUUAUUUUCUUCUUUCUUCCUUUCUGCCCACACCAAGCUUGCUACAGGUUAUCUGAAGGUAUAAAGCGUGUGGAAACCAAGACAUGUUUGGGAGAAUUCAUGCUCCUAGAACUGGAAAAGCAAGGGCGAUAUGGAACAGCUGGAGAGGAAUUCAGGAAAGGAGAGAUGUCUACUCUAAGGGGAGGUUGCAUCACUGGCUAAGAGACAUACCUGUUCCAACCAUCCUUGCUGGCUCUGUAUUACAGAAAGGCUUUUUGUGUGCGAUAGCGGUGACAAAGGAAACAAAGAACACUAUGAAACUGGCUGCAAUGUGCAUUUCACAGGUGAAGCAUGAAGAGCUUACAGAAUCCCCAACCUCCUCCUGGUCAACAAUGUUGUCCUUCCCAAAGCUGCAAAGGAGCCUUGGAAGCUCUGGUUUUAGAAGACGGAGUGCUGAGUCCCUGCUCCUGCCUCAUUCACAUGCAGCUGGCUGCCCGUAUGCUUGCUCUCAGACAACCAUUCCUUACGCUCUCCCCAUCUCCUGCUCUACUUCCUAGCUCUGCCUGGAUUUUGAAACACUGAGUUCCCUUCAGCUACCAAGAGAUG